rnacentral:rRNA from 1 species
AUUGAACGCUGGCGGCAUGCCUAACACAUGCAAGUCGAGCGGAUGAAGUGAGCUUGCUCUUGGAUUCAGCGGCGGACGGGUUAGCAAUGCCUAGGAUUCUGCCUGGUAGUGGUGGAUAACGUCCGGAAACGGGCGCUAAUACCGCUUACUUCUUGAGGGUGAUAUUGGUUGUUCUUCGGACCUCACUCUAUCAGUUGAACCUAGGUCGGAUUAGCUAGUUGGUGGGGUAAAGGCCUACCAAGUCGACUAUCCGUAACUGGUCUGAGAGGAUGAUCAGUCACACUGGAACGGAGACACGGUCAAGACUCCUACGGGAGGAAGCAGUGGGAAAUAUUGGAAAAUGGGCGAAAGCCUGAUCAAGACAUGCCGCGUGUGUAAAGAAGGUCUUCGGAUUGUAAAGCACGUUAAGUUGGGAGGAAGGGCAGUAAGGUAAUAACUUGCUGUUUUGACGUUACCAACAGAAUAAGCACCGGCUAACUUCGUG